rnacentral:rRNA from 1 species
CUAAGCAUAUCAAUAAGCGGAGGAAAAGAAACCAACAGGGAUUGCCCUAGUAACGGCGAGUGAAGCGGCAACAGCUCAAAUUUGAAAUCUGGCCCCUUUGGGGUCCGAGUUGUAAUUUGCAGAGGGUGCUUUGGCGUUGGCGGCGGUCUAAGUUCCUUGGAACAGGACAUCGCAGAGGGUGAGAAUCCCGUAUGUGGUCGCAUGCCUUCGCCGUGUAAAGCCCCUUCGACGAGUCGAGUUGUUUGGGAAUGCAGCUCUAAAUGGGAGGUAAAUUUCUUCUAAAGCUAAAUACCGGCCAGAGACCGAUAGCGCACAAGUAGAGUGAUCGAAAGAUGAAAAGCACUUUGGAAAGAGAGUCAAACAGCACGUGAAAUUGUUGAAAGGGAAGCGCUUGCAGCCAGACUUGCCUGUAGUUGCUCACCCGGGCUCCUGCCCGGGGCACUCUUCUGCAGGCAGGCCAGCAUCAGUUUGGGCGGUCGGAUAAAGGGCUCUGACACGUACUUCCCCUCGGGGUUGACAUACAGGGGAGCCGCAAUGCGACCAGCCCGGACUGAGGUCCGCGCAUCUGCUAGGAUGCUGGCGUAAUGGCUGUAAGCGGCCCGUCUUGAAACACGGACCAAGGAGUCUAACAUCUAUGCGAGUGUUUGGGUGUCAAGCCCGAGCGCGUAAUGAAAGUGAACGGAGGUGGGAGCCCCUCGGGGUGCACCAUCGACCGAUCCUGAUGUCUUCGGAUGGAUUUGAGUAAGAGCAUAGCUGUUGGGACCCGAAAGAUGGUGAACUAUGCUUGAAUAGGGUGAAGCCAGAGGAAACUCUGGUGGAGGCUCGCAGCGGUUCUGACGUGCAAAUCGAUCGUCAAAUUUGGGCAUAGGGGCGAAAGACUAAUCGAACUAUCUAGUAGC